AGUGAACGCUGGCGGCGUGCUUAACACAUGCAAGUCGAACGAGAACGGGUUAUAGCUUGCUAUAAUUGUCAGCUAAGUGGCGCACGGGUGAGUAAUGUAUAGGUAAUAUGCCUCUUACUAAGGGGUAACAAAUGGGAACGUUUGCUAAUACCUUAUACUCCUUAUUAACAGAAGUUAAUAAGGGAAAGAUUUAUUGGUAAGAGAUUAGCCUGUAUUGUAUCAGUUAGUUGGUGGGGUAAUGGCUUACCAAGACUAUGACACAUAACUGGUUUGAGAGGAUGAUCAGUCACACUGGAACUGAGACACGGUCCAGACUCCUACGGGAGGCAGCAGUGGGGAAUAUUGCACAAUGGACGAAAGUCUGAUGCAGCAACGCCGCGUGGAGGAUGACACAUUUCGGUGCGUAAACUCCUUUUAUAUGAGAAGAUAAUGACGGUAUUAUAUGAAUAAGCACCGGCUAACUCCGUGCCAGCCGCCGCGGUAACAC
rnacentral:rRNA from 1 species